GUUUUAUAUUUAAAUUGUGUGAAUUUAAUUUUUAUUAAAAAUUUUUAUUUUGUUAGUAUUUAUAGAAAUUAGUUACAUAUUUAGUUUGUACUGUAAAGGAUUUUAAUAAUACUUAAAGAAUUAUGUUAUUUUUAGUACCUUUAGUAUCAGGGUAAAUUAAUUAAUUAAAUUAUUUUAUUUUCCCGAAUUUGAAUGAUCAAGUUUUGUAUUAUAUAUUUGUGUUAAAAGGUUUUUUAAUACAUUAUUAGUAAUUAUAUGUUAGUCGUUUUCUGUUUAUCUGGUUAUUAGGGAAAUUAAAUUUAAUUUUGCACUUUUUAUAUUGAUUUUAUUUAAUAAUUUAUGUUAAGUGUUAAUUUAUUGGGGAUAAUCUCGGUAAAUAUGAAUUAUUACAUAAAAUAUACUUUUUAUUUUUUUACUUUUAAAUUUUGUAUUAAGUUUGUAUUAAAUUGGUUAAAUUGAAUAUAAUUUUUUUGUGUCUAUUUUUAUACUUAAUUUAUUAGGUUAAUUUUGAAUCUAAUUUAAUAAUGAUUUAAUUAGUAUAAUAAAUUAAUUAAGGAAAAUGAAUUCGACAAAUAUUAUUUCCAACUGUUUAUCAAAAACAUUUCUUUUUGUUUAUAUAAAAAGUAUCUUCUGCCCUAUGGUUUAUAUUCUAAAUGGCUGCAGUAUUUUGACUGUGCAAAGGUAGCAUAGUAAUUAGUUUUUUAAUUGAAAGCUUGUAUGAAUGGAUGUAUGAGAAAUAUAUUUUAUUUUUUUAAGAUAUUAAAAUUUAAAUUUAAAGUUAAAAUGCUUUAUUAGUUUAUUGGGACGAUAAGACCCUAUAGAACUUUAUAUAAUUUUGUUUUUAUUAAGUUUUAUUUUAUUAACUUUUUAAAAUUAUUUUAUAUUUUGCUGGGGUGGCAAUUAAAUAAAUUAACUUUAGUUUUAAUAUUCAUUUUUUUAUGUAAUUUUAGAUCUCAAUAUAAAUUAGGGAUAAUAAGAUGAAGUUACCUUAGGGAUAACAGCGUAAUUUUAAUGGGGAGUUCAUAUCUAUAUUGUAUUUUGCGACCUCGAUGUUGAAUUAAGAAAAUUUUAAGAAGCAGUAUUCUUAAUAAUAAGUCUGUUCGACUUUUAAAUUCUUACAUGAUUUGAGUUCAAACCGGUGUGAGCCAGGUUGGUUUCUAUCUGAUAAAUAUUUUUUAUACUUAGUACGAAAGGACCAGUAUAAAUUACUUACGGGUAAACUAUUUUUUAAU
rnacentral:rRNA from 1 species